rnacentral:rRNA from 1 species
GACGAACGCUGGCGGCGUGCUUAACACAUGCAAGUCGAACGGAAAGGCCUCUUUCGGGGGGUACUCGAGUGGCGAACGGGUGAGUAACACGUGAGUAACCUGCCCUUGACUUUGGGAUAACUUCAGGAAACUGGGGCUAAUACCGGAUAGGAGCUCCUGCUGCAUGGUGGGGGUUGGAAAGUUUCGGCGGUUGGGGAUGGACUCGCGGCUUAUCAGCUUGUUGGUGGGGUAGUGGCUUACCAAGGCUUUGACGGGUAGCCGGCCUGAGAGGGUGACCGGCCACAUUGGGACUGAGAUACGGCCCAGACUCCUACGGGAGGCAGCAGUGGGGAAUAUUGCACAAUGGGUGGAAGCCUGAUGCAGCAACGCCGUGUGUGGGAUGACGGCCUUCGGGUUGUAAACCGCUUUCGCUCAUGACGAAGCUUUGUGUGACGGUAGUGGGUAAAGAAGCACCGGCUAACUACGUG